rnacentral:lncRNA from 1 species
AUGCAGUUUCUAGAACAUUCUUGUACUUUCCAACCCCUGCCCUUUGUCUUUUCUAUUGGUUUUUCCCAUGAAUCCUCCCCUUUUUUUCCAGGUGACCCUUGGGGCACCAAGGCCUCUCAAGACAUGAGUCCCGUGUCGCCCCAGUGGUGGUGUUUCCUCACCCUCUCUGCAGCCCUCCGUCUGCACCCUGAGAGCAGGUCCACACGUCCCACUGCACAGAGGAGGCUGCUGUCGCCGUCACAGAUGAGGCUCAGAGAGGGUGUCUCAUGUCCACGGUGGCUCAGUGUGGAGCAGGAACCCCUGCAGGGCCAUCUCUCUGUCACCUUGAGAAAGGAUGCCUGCCUCAGGGCACAGGGGAUAUUAUGUCACCUGGGCCCGUUUCAGUUCUUACUGAGGGUCUCAGAAAGAAUCCAGCCAUCAAGAGGUGACUGGGGCAGGCCUUUUGGAUGGGGCGUCCUGGCAUGUGCGUGUUUUGGAGCAAGUCCUCGGGCUCAUUCAUUCAAUCGUUCUGUGCAUCAGGACAAAAGGGCUGCUGUGGGGAUCCACAGGGCUCACCUGGCACAGAGCUGGUGCUCAAGACACCCACCUGCGCUGACAGCUCACGGCUCACUGUCCUGCUGCCUCCUCUUCUCGGCCUGUCCUGCGAUGGUCCCCGGCAAACAACAGCACCUGAGCCGCUGUUUCCAGAAGGUGCCUUCCAUCCUCCCACCAACAGCUCGGGCGGCUCCAAAGUCACAGGGAAGGGCCCCCCACCAUCCAACCACUGACAUAGGGCUUUGA